UCAAACGCGCAUGGGAUGUCAAUCGCAAAACCAAUAACUCAAUGGAGAGAGGCAUAAAAAGAGAAAUUGAAUAGCAAGUUAGCCCUGACACAUACAAACAAACUUCAAAUGAUUUAUACCCUGGAGAGACUGAGCUAACUUAAAUGUUUUGAUCUUUUAGUCGACAUAAAAAAGUGGAAAAAGCCUGUAGGCCGUUGCAUUAAGAACAUGAUUUAAUCCAGGCAUAUGGAAUGUUCUAAAUGUACAGUUGAUUAGAAUGCUCUGUAUUAUGGUCACAGAAAAAUUGUGAGAGAUGUGAAUUAUUUUCAAAAGGAAUGAACCACUGAGACAAGCA